UAAGUAUUAGUUUUAAUUAAACCAAUAUAUUUUUAAUAAGUUUAUACAUUCUAAUUUUUGUUAUUUUUCUAUUAAGAUUGAUCGGAAGUUCAAUCGACUCAAGAGUAUGAUUAAAUCUACUCGCUCAGAUAUUUUGAAAGACAUUGAAGAAAAAGUUAACCCAUCCAUAAAAGUGUAGUGUCUUUUGUUAAAAUAUUUGUAUUUAUUUGUUUCUUACAAUUAAGAUUUUUCCUAACAUUAUAGAUUCCUGAUCAUGAUAAUAUCGGUAUAUCAAGUCCAAUUCAAAAUAUUGAUUUUGUGCAAUUGUUUAAUGUGGUUGAAGAACCACAACCACCUACUAUAGUGGAGGAGUCCAUUAUUAAUCCAAUUAAGUCUGAUGCCCCUAAAACACAAGAAAAAUCUCAUGCAUAGGAAUUUACUCAGGAAUCUGAAUCAUCCAAAAUUCCACAACAAGUAGAUGAUGUAUCACCAAUGCUCAAAGAUUCAGAUUCUGUUGAUUGUGUUCAAGAGAUUGCUACUACAUAUACAUUAAAGGAAUCAGAAACUUCCAAUAUUCCACAACAAAUACAGGAUAUAUCACCAAUGCCCAAGAAAAUAGAUAUUGUUGAAGGUGUUGAAGAGCCUUCUGAUAUAUAUACAUCAAAGGUAAUGUAUCAAAACAACUUUGAGAUACAUUUAGUAUUAAAAAGUUUAUUAUAACUUGAUACAUGUCAUAUAGGUUAAUGUAUCAGAUGAACAGAUUUAAAUCAUGAAAGAAUCAAUUCAGGCUCCUAAUAUGACUAACAUAAGUGAAGAAAAUGUUCAGCAAGUCGAAUACAGAUAAAUCUAAGCACAAUGUGUCGAUGGGCUUCUAAAAUUUUAUCUUGUUCAAUAUUUUUUAGUUUUUGGUUAUUAUUUCAAUCCAAUUACAAA